AGUGCAUGUACUAAAAAUGCAUGAAUUCAACAGGUCAGUUCAUCUGGAUACUUCAACUCCUAAGAACUUCACAAAUCCAGUGUGUGGGUCUUCCAGUGAGUUGGAGAGGAUUGAGGAACCAUGGCACAGUUUGAAACCUUGACAUGGACUAUACCUAUUAUAUUGGUGCUUGAAAGCAUUGGAUCCUGUAUCACAUGUGGUAGAGCCGAGUACAGAAUAGGGGAGGAAUGUUCUCCCAUGUGUUUAAAAGGACAUUGAGUACAUAGUCAUUGUACUAAAUCUACAUAUAC